GUGACCUGAAUAUGUCCCAAGGAAAGGAAGGCCCAUGUCAUGUCUCUGAUGCUCCUUCUACAGUGCUGCUCACCAAGCUCAAGACAUGCCUUCCCCAGAUGAUAUCUGAGAGAGGACAGUGUCGGCGAGUGCGGCUGAGCUGGGGGUAACCAAGACCUUGCUACCCACAGGCUGCUGCCCUGUGCACAGGAGAAGCAUAAGUGGACAACAGCCUGGAAGAGACAGCAGAUACCUGAGGAAUACUUGAAGAAAUUCGAAUUCAUAAACAUCCAG